GAUGAAGAACGCAGCGAAAUGCGAUACUUGGUGUGAAUUGCAGAAUCCCGUGAACCAUCGAGUCUUUGAACGCAAGUUGCGCCUCAAGCCAUUAGGUUGAGGGCACGUCUGCCUGGGCGUCACAUAUCGUUGCCUGAUGCCAGUUUCCUCGUGAUGGGUGACUGUGCAGGGCGAAUGAUGGCUUCCCGUGAGCAUUGUUGCCUCAUGGUUGGUUGAAAAUUGAGUCCUUGGUAGGGAGCGCCGUGAUAGAUGGUGGUUGAGUGACGAACGAGACCCAAUCAUGUGAGACCCCUACCGAAUUUGGCCUUCAUGACCCACAUGCGUCUUUGGAACGCUCAUGACGAGACCUCAGGUCAGGCGGGGCUACCCGCUGAGUUUAAGCAUAUCAAUUAAGCGGAGGA
rnacentral:misc_RNA from 1 species